CGACGGGUAAGAAGCCCGCUGACACCCAGACGCGCUCUUUCACAGCCUGGGAACCCACGUCAACCCCCUUACCUCGCCAUGCAUCACUCAUCUUAACCGACGUGAAUGCAGGUGCGGCGAGUGCCAUCCCCAACGGUGGAGAGACGGGCACCGCUCACUGACCCCGCAGCGAGGCACGGCCAGGACACCGCAACUCACGCAGCCUGAAAAGCCUAAACUGAAGAGGCGGGGCGGGAGCGAUCCCGCGAGAAGACCGGAGGUGGCGAGACCGCGUCUCUUCGUAUCGCGAGGCUUGCGCUACUUCUCGCGAGAGCUACCGGAAGUCUUGGCCGCCGGCUGCCAGCGUCGGGCCUUAGGUAGCAGCCACCUGCCUACACUGCGAGUAAUGAAGACUCAACAGAACCCAAAGCAAGAUGAAGUUCCUUCUGUAUAUCAUCUUUGCUGUUAGCUGGAAUUUUAUUGUAACAAGUUAAUGAAAUGUGUGUGGUGGUUUAUGAGCCAGUGGUAACAGAAGAAUAGCAGGCAUGAAAGCACUGACAGAGUUGCUUCAACAAUAAACUACAUAAAUUUUGGAUACCGCAUAUGUUGGGGUAGGUUGUUCAAAAAUAUAGUACCA
rnacentral:lncRNA from 1 species